AAAAAUCCAUUGACAACUAUUGAAUAGCAAGGCCUCUCCUAAACUUUAUGGAAUCUGUGAUUAUGAUGUGGUGGAGAUCACUGAAGUGUUCUAGAGAAGUCUCACGUCUGUGAUUAUGAUGUGGUGGAGAUCACUGAAGUGAUCACUGAAGUUCUAGAGAAGUCUCACAAUUGGACAAUCCUGUCCUAAAGGCCUUCUUAAACAUAGGCACUGCUGAGGGUGUGGACAGAUCUCAGGUCUGGGUUUAGUACAACCAAAAUCAGCUUACUCAGAUCAAGCUGGCUGAGACCACUUCCAAGCAUAUUCCACACAUGGAUGUAUAAGGAAUCCAUUGGCAGAAUGGGAUCAAUGCAUUCCUGCCUUCAUUUGAGCAUCGAAAAUAUAUUGAAAAUGCCUUCAAGAGCAGCAGACUAGAACAUCACCUGUGCACAAAAUAAUUUAAUCUCUCCUUGGCACAUGGAGCAACUCUUCUUAUUUAGGCAGCUGUAGCUGUACCUGCACAGAUUGCUCCUGAGAGAAGCUUGGGUGGUCCUGGCUGAGUGCAAGAGGCAGCUGAGGGGUGCAGUGAGUGUGACACAGAGCUGGGGGUGCAGUGAGUGUGACACAGAGCUGGGGAUGCAGUGAGUGUGACACAGAGCUGUGAGUGCAGUGAGUGUGACACAGUGCCCCCCCCCCCCCCCCCCCCCCCCCCCCCCCCCCCCCCCCCCCCCCCCCCCCCCCCCCCCCCCCCC
rnacentral:lncRNA from 12 species